GACGAACGCUGGCGGCGUGCUUAACACAUGCAAGUCGAACGGAAAGGCCCUGCUUUUGUGGGGUGCUCGAGUGGCGAACGGGUGAGUAACACGUGAGUAACCUGCCCUUGACUUUGGGAUAACUUCAGGAAACUGGGGCUAAUACCGGAUAGGAGCUCCUGCUGCAUGGUGGGGGUGGGAAAGUUUCGGUGGUUGGGGAUGGACUCGCGGCUUAUCGGAUUGUUGGUGGGGUAGUGGCUUACCAAGGCUUGGACGGGUAGCCGGCCUGAGAGGGUGACCGGCUCCAUUGGGCCUGAGAUACGGCACAGCCUCCUACGGGAGGCAGCAGUGGGGAAUAUUGCACAAUGGGCGGAGGCCUGAUGCAGCAACGCCGCGUGCGGGAUGACGGCCUUCGGGUUGUAAACCGAUUUCGCCUGUGACGAAGCGUGAGUGACGGUAAUGGGUAAAGAAGCACCGGCUAACUACGUG
rnacentral:rRNA from 1 species